UUACGGCCACAUCAUGUCGAAACACCGGAUUCCGUACGAUCACCGAAGCUAAGCAACGUCGAUCCUGGUCACUACGUAGAUAGGUGACCGUUUGAGAAUACCAGGGCCUGUAU